GUUUUCACCCAGGAACUUUAUAAAAUUAUGUCACAUGUUUUUGUUGUUUUUUCUUGGUUUGUUUUUUUAUUUUGUCUUUUGUCUUUUGUCUUCUCUUAUAAUAAAAAAAAAAAAAAGUUUUCAGCCCUUAGCAAAGAAAGCUGCGUAGCUUCGAAACGGUAGCAGUUUUCUUUGGGCAACUUUGCAGCUAGCUAGUCUACAGUAGCUACUCUAUCAGGAUCUCCUGGAUUGCAACGGAAUUGUCAACCAGCCAAGGCCACAGCGAAGGAUCAUUUUAGAGGGCAUCGAUAGUACCCCCUCAUCUGGUCUCCUCUAUCAACGCCACCCAUCAAUCAACGCCACCCAUCAACCGAUUGUAGUCUUCAAUGCACUGAGGGCAUGGUACAGCGAUCUUCUCUCCUGUUCUGCAUCGCCGAUUUACAGUGGAGCUGGCAGUGGGGUCAGAGGCCGUGGACAUUACACGGACAAUCCUAUUGUCCUUCCAGGCUGUCACUGUGACCGUGUCCUUCUGCCUCAUCAAAUAAUCUCCUCUGAAAAAGGCUUGUUGGGGAGGUACUGCUUGAGUGACGAUCUUCCCUGGAACUUAAUCAUCGCCUCAUCAACAGCCACGUCCCGGUCUAACAAGUACACUGCCGAACAGCGCUCAUUGACUUUGUUGAUGAGGGGACGUACUUUUGCCAAGCGAUCACUACCAGGGGUGCCGGGAGUUGGGAGCGUUGUGUUGUCAGCAGAAUGGAGGUAGCGACGAAUAUCUCUGAACCGAUCCCUUGAGAUCUUGGAUGCGAUAGGUGUGAACAGUAGAUGGAAGGUCUCCAGUGGAGAAUCUGAAAUGAUCACAGUCGGGCCAACAGAUUGAGUGAACAAUUGCCGUGGAUGGUCACGAAUGGUGGGAGUCCAUUUACUGGAGGAACCAGGAGUGGCACUGCUUUGGGUCUGUGAACUCAUCGUCACUCCCUUCUGCCAUGGGGCCAUCAUCGUCUUCGAGGCCAUCAGUGUGUUCUGAGUCAGAGAGGUCCUGCUCACUACUGUCAAGGAUACCCUAAAGUACCUCAUCCCUUGUAUAGAGAGUCCUCUUUGUCAUUGUUAUGCUAUGGAAUAUAUUGUUAUUGUAUUUAUUGUAUUAUAUCAACUGUAUCUUCACCAUUGAAAUUAUUGCAAAAAAGUUAUGUGUGCAAUUUUCACAAUAAAAUAUCAGCAAAUUUUUGAUAACUAACCUACUGUGAUCAGUCUCGGUAUGGUUUCUGUUAUCCUUUGAGAGAA